UACGUAGGGUGCAAGCGUUAAUCGGAAUUACUGGGCGUAAAGCGUGCGCAGGCGGUGAUGUAUGACAGAUGUGAAAUCCCCGGGCUCAACCUGGGAACUGCAUUUGUGACUGCAUCGCUGGAGUGCGGCAGAGGGGGAUGGAAUUCCGCGUGUAGCAGUGAAAUGCGUAGAGAUGUGGAGGAACACCGAUGGCGAAGGCAGCCCCCUGGGCCAAUACUGACGCUCAUGCACGAAAGCGUGGGGAGCAAACAGG
rnacentral:rRNA from 1 species